rnacentral:rRNA from 1 species
UACGUAGGGGGCAAGCGUUGUCCGGAUUUAUUGGGCGUAAAGAGCGUGUAGGCGGCUAGGUAGGUCUGCUGUGAAAACUCGAGGCUCAACCUCGAGACGUCGGUUGAAACCGUAUGGCUAGAGUCCGGAAGAGGAGAGUGGAAUUCCCGGUGUAGCGGUGAAAUGCGCAGAUAUCGGGAAGAACACCCGUGGCGAAGGCGGCUCUCUGGGACGGUACUGACGCUGAGACGCGAAAGCGUGGGGAGCGAACAGG